rnacentral:lncRNA from 1 species
GCAAUACGGAGGGUGCUGGAGACAAAGAUGAGUGAGACAAUCUUUGGCUGGAAGGAGUUUGUUGUCUACUGGGGAGACAGACAAGAAACAUUAAUACCUAGUCCAGUGCUAAUUUAUGAGCUUUGAAGACCUGGAUUUGGAAGCCUUCUGGGGUCAGGGGAAGUGAGGGGAGGAUGUCUGAGCUCCCUGGGUGGCUCUGGAUUCACAUUCCAGGAAGAAAGAACAAUGUUUUCAAAGUCUAGGUGGCCUAGGAGGGCGUGCCCAGUCAGGGGAAUGUAGACAUUUGAUAAGGAGGGCUAGUCGGGUGGAAUAUUGGUUGCAGAGGGGCCCGGGGCCCAGAACUUGCCAACCCUUAAACCCUCCCAGCUGAGGAGUUUGGACAUAAUGCUGCCCUGCAGUGAUUAUUAAUCUGUGCUCCAAGGACAGGACCCCAGGGCACUUGAGUUCAAGGGGCAGGGCUCCGAGCCUCCAUCCCUACUGCAACAGGACACCUCCACUUUUGUCUGACUUAAAUAUUGAGCUUCUGUUUGAGAGUUCCUUCAGAGGAAAGUUUCUGCAGCUUAGUUUGAAAACCACCGGAGUAGAUGAGGGGGCUCCAGGCAUGGCUUUGACCAGGGUGUGGCUUUAGACGACCCCUCUGGGGUGAUGUGGAGGGUGAUUCUAGGGGAGCCAGCAAGAGGCAGAGACCAGGCUUUUGCGUUGGGCACCUGAAGGCACGGAUGCAUCUCCAUGGGUUCCUGUUGGGCAUCGUGAGUGCUAAGUGGGACAGAAGCACAAGUGGCAGGAGCAUGUGGAUGACAGGUUAGUAACUCCAUCAGGCACAGCAGUGAUACUGGGCGGGGUCACAGUAGGAAAAGUGGGAUGAAAUCGUGAUGGUGUCCUCAGGGUUCCGUCCCACUGUCUGGCAGCCUCUGGGAGAGAAUGCAACCUAGGUAUAUUUUUACAUGACUUCUUUCAUUCAUGUUAGUGUGAGGUGACCGGCAUGUCAUUGGAAAACUCUGUUGAACUCAGAGGCUUCCUUCAUCCUUCCCUCGAGAAGGCCGGCUGGCCAAGCCGUUGGGUUUCUCCAGGGGUGAGGAGUCAGAGCUGAGGUCCUGCAGUCAGGCAAAGCCAACUCCACCCAAAACGGAAAACUGAGAACAUGAAAAACCCUCUUAGGAAUGUUUCUUUAGUUCGACAUUAGAGUUUAUCAUGUAUUGUUAGAUGCCUCUGGUUAAGACGCUGAGCAUCGUGCUGAGUGCCGUGAUGAAGUGCUUUGUCAAUCCCUACGUCCCUUUCUUUUUUUCAAGUUCCGUGAGGUGCAAACUACAAAUGGGUAUCAGACGUACUUGGAGUUGAGGAGAGGGAGUUACAAGAGGACCAAAAGUUGGGUCAGGAGCCAAACUAGUACUUGAGCCCCACCUGGCUUUCCUUCUCAAAAAACACGAUGGGAAGUUUGGCUACGCUGACUUCAGAAGCAAAUCUUAGUUACUUAUCAUGAGGAAACGUCAGAAACCUUGGUAGGAUUUUUUGAAAGGUGC